GACGAACGCUGGCGGCGUGCUUAACACAUGCAAGUCGAACGGAAAGGCCCUGCUUUUGUGGGGUGCUCGAGUGGCGAACGGGUGAGUAACACGUGAGUAACCUGCCCUUGACUUUGGGAUAACUUCAGGAAACUGGGGCUAAUACCGGAUAGGAGCUCCUGCUGCAUGGUGGGGGUGGGAAAGUUUCGGCGGUUGGGGAUGGACUCGCGGCUUAUCAGCUUGUUGGUGGGGUAGUGGCUUACCAAGGCUUUGACGGGUAGCCGGCCUGAGAGGGUGACCGGCCACCUUGGGACUGAGAUACGGCCCAGACUCCUACGGGAGGCAACAGUGGGGAAUAUUGCACAAUGGGCGGAAGCCUGAUGCAGCAACGCCGCGUGCGGGAUGACGGCCUUCGGGUUGUAAACCGCUUUCGCCUGUGACGACGCGUGAGUGACGGUAAUGAGUAAAGAAGCACCGGCUAACUACGUG
rnacentral:rRNA from 1 species